UACGGAGGGUGCAAGCAUUAAUCGGAAUUAUUGGGCGUAAAGGGCGCGUAGGCGGAUAUGUAAGUCAGAUGUGAAAUUCCGAAACUCAAUUUCGGAGCUGCAUUUGAAACCACACAUCUCGAGGAUUGGCGGAGAGAACGGAAUUCCACGUGUAGCGGUGAAAUGCGUAGAUAUGUGGAAGAACACCGGUGGCGAAAGCGGUUCUCUAGCUUAUUCCUGACGCUGAGGCGCGAGAGCAAGGGGAUCAAACAGG
rnacentral:rRNA from 1 species